CUGUAACCCCCGCCAUUAACGUCACGUAAGACGGAUUAGGCCCGGCACGGACAGACCGGGAGGGAAGGGCUGAGAACCGGCAGCGGGCAAACGAGGAGGAGCGGGGCGGAACCGAGGCCGUUACUGUCCAGGCGGACUCCCACUUUAAGGCUACGAACGCGGCCUAGGCCUUCUGGGGCCUAGCGCAGCAGUGACGUCACCGGCAGCAGUGACGUCACCGGCAGCAGGAGGCGCAUGCGCACUGCUCACUCCCGGUAGAACACGGCUCCGCCUGUGGGAGAGCUGCGCAUGCGCACUCCGUCCUUCGCGUCCAGUCAGAGCUGGUUUCCCGCCCUGCUCGCUUUAUGUCCGCUCUCCUCACAGCGCCCCGUUCCCUGUUUGGUGUUUCCCGACGGCUUUAUUUUCUCUCUGGGUGUGAAUAAACGCCCUCAGGCUUAUCAGUAACGGCUUAUAUCUAUGAGGUGUGCCCUCAUUAAAAGGACCAGGCCAAACCCUAUGAAGGCCACAACCUGACCCUAAAAUGCACAGAAAGGAAAACACGUCGCUUUAUCCACCCUCAGAGGUAACCCUGACCAUGGGGAUUCCUGUUGGCUGCAGCUCCAGCCCAUGGCCCAGCUGAUAGAGUUCCAUAACCCGCCUUGCUCCCCUCUGUGUCAUAACCUUACAUCACAAAGUGACAGUCGCCUCCACAUCAGUGUUGCCUCAGGCCCAGCCCAAGGCUUCCUGGCUGUCGCAGAGUUGCUCUCACAUCCAUUUUUCUCUAGAGGACACAAGAAAUCUCUUGAACCUCAGAGAACGAAGGAGGAGGGAGCUGUUCGGCAAAGGACAGAGGAGGGUAUUGAAACAGGAGUGUUUCCUGGUAGCAAACAUCAGGAACCUUUUGUUCUUUAGCUUCACUUGCAAGAAGCAAGAGCAUGGUCAACGUGCUAGAGCUGAUAACUAACGUUGAGACUGAUGGUUGCAACAAAGUCAUGUUUCCCACACUACAGCAGCUUUCUAGCAAAGAUGUCACUACCAUAUGGGACAAUGUGUUCCAGCGCGUUCAACGUUUGCUCCUGCUGCCAAAGCCUCAAGCUGUCAGCAUACCCGGACUGGGAACAUUUUGUAUUCAAAAGUGGCAAGCUCUUGAGGAUGGCGAGACGAUCACGUUUCAGAGGCCACUGUUUUCACUGUCCCAGGCUGUUGCACAGAUUCGUGACUUCAAAUACCCUUUAAUGCAGUUUCCUGAUGACACUGAGAUAAUGGUGCUAGACCCUGAGACCAUACGCAUGCACACACAUUCUCAGCAAACAGUGCAGGACUGUCUAUUGGAGACCUUGCAGUAUUUCUACCACAUCCUAACAAAUGGAGAAGAUGCAGACUUCACGCUAACGGACGUUGGCACUCUUGCUAUCCGAGGGCAGCAAGCAGAAAUGACAUUUGGUGAAGACUUUUUACAGCAACUCAACAAAUCUGAACAUGUGGCAGAGAAGCUUUUCAAUAAAAGAUGGGUCAUCUCGGACAAAGAAACUGCUCUCCUGCCGAGCCAUCUUGGCUGCAUCCACCUGUUGCCACAGUUUGAGAUCAAGGAGGUACCUCAACUUGCUACAAAGCCACUACCAGAGCAAAAGCUACUUGAAAGAAAAGAGUCUUUUCUCUGCAAGCUACUCAGACUACGGACCAUUACUCUAAGUGCAUUAUUCACAGAUGAGAUGGACGAAGAAGAGGAGCAUUCUGACAGCCCACUCCCACAGACACCAGGCACAGAAGGAAAGCAGGCCAGAGAAAUACCCACCUUUCCAGUGGCUGCUUCUCAUCCUGAAGAAGACCUAGAUAACCUGCCAGCUUUGAUCCAGGAGAGGAAGCAAUUCAGUUCUCAGCUACAAAGCUUUGGAGACGUUGAGAAAUGGCUGAGUAAUAAAUCUUCCAAGAACGAACUGGAAAAGAGACUCUGGAAACACAUAAAGACACACAGAGCAGAGAGAAGGGCUGAAGAGUUAGCUGUGACUGAUAACGACACACCAGCAAGCAGCCUGCCUCAGGAGGACAUUCCCCCUCCUUGCAUACCGUACCCCCAGGCUCUCAUCACACUGCAUGACCUCCUGCGCAAACAGAAGACAACGCUGGUGAACGUCUUCAAGAAAGCUGGCAUGGAGGGCAGAAAUAUCAAGAAAGCAGACUUCAUUAAAAUCAUCAAGCAGACAAAGAUUUCCAUCAGCGAAAAGGAACUGGAGGAUGUGAUCGUCUUUCUGGCUGCCCCUAAUGGUGGGAAAUACAUUACCAUGGAAAAGCUGAUGGAAUGUCAAAACGAGUGGCUGGAAAUGAAGAAAAAAGAAUCCAAAGAGGCCAAAGGGGGUGCACAGACUCAGCCCCUUAAAGCCACUGGCAGAUCUGCCACAUCUCCACCUUCUGCUGAGGGCAGAGACAGUGGGAUGGAGCCUACCACACCUGAAGUGAAGUUAACACCUUUAGAAGCUACCCCAGACCACACUGAGCUGGGACAAGUUCAUCAAACUGACCAUGAAAUGAAAGACACUUCAGAAGCAUGCAGAGACAGGACACAUGAAGCUGUCAAGAGACAAGAGAUGAAGAAGGACCAGGGCAGCCCAAUCAAAUGGGCAGAAAUAUCUCAUCUGGAGAGAUCUGGGCAGCUAGCUGUUGAAGAGCACUGCUUCCCAGUAACUACAAGCAAUGACAUGGGUGCACUGGUCAACCAAUACCGCAGUAAAGGGGCUGUGAGUUACCUGAAUUCCUCCAAGCUGUGCAGAGAACAUGACAUUGAUCUCAAUGAGUCAGCGCUGCAGAAAGGCCUGCUGCACCCAGGAGACAAAAUCAUCAGGAGAGGACAACAUCUAAUGAAGAUUAGGCAGCCUGGAGGAUACUAUGACAUAGGAAUUGCUGAUAAGCCUGGAGGAUACUACAACAUAGGAACUGCUGAUAAGCCCUCACCUCCGAGCGCGUCCAAGUCAUCAAAAAGUGCAGCUGGAAAGCAGGGCAAAGAGGACUUUCAUCAGAUGAAUCAGAAAGAAAAAGGGAACAUGAUGUCAGACAACAGGUUCUGGCCAGGUCACCUUCUGGACAAGAUGCGCCUCUGCAUUCCAGAAGAGAAGUUCAACAGGGCACAUCCCUUAUUCAGCUGUGUUCGCAUGACCCGGCCUGUAUACGGCAUAAUGUAAAACCACAACCAGCACCAGCCAAUCCAUGAGACAUUGUGUCCACCAGGGAUGUAGCAUCCAAGACUCAUUCUAUCUGAGUCUUCUAGCAGCACAAGAUAUGAGCAGAACAUUGCAAUUCAUCAUCAGCUCAAGAGAUCUGAGCUGUUCUAAAGAAGCAUAGACACAUAGAGAACACCCUGAGCUGGAAUGGACCCACAAGAGCCAUCUAGUCCAACACUUCAAACCCAAAUAAACAACAUUAUUCGUCCUAUUCUCAGGACUACUUGCAUUCUAUGAAUGGAGAAAUAGACAAUAGAGAUAAGCAACAACCACAGCGUUGUACACUUGGAUUGCUCCCAGAGGAGCACCUUCAUGCUCAGAAAGCUGCAAGAAGUGCUUUCCACACACAGAGAGCAGAGAACCACCUCUGGUGGCUACAACACGGGGCACAUUUGCCACUCUUUUGUAUUACCUACGAAUAACUCCAAUGAGAAAACCACUGCUUGGUUUCUGUUCCAAUUAGAUCUGGAGGUCGGCUGCCUUGCCUUGAUGAUCUCUGAGCUCCCUUUCAACCCAAGCCAUUCUAUCAUUCAAAUUACCAGGAAGGUAAUGCAAAGGCUGAGCUUGUGGCACACUAAACAUGACAAGCUCUUGUCUCUCCCCAUGGCAUGAAAGCAUGAGCAAUGUAUGGGGUGAGGAGCUGCAGAUGGAGACUGAUUGCAGCCCAUAGAGUGUCAUGGCAGGAUCAACGCUCCCAUCAGUGUCUAUGGCUGAGAGAGGAAAGAAAAGAGUGCUUUGGAUCAGCCACAGCCCUGGGUUCAAAGCCAGGUUCAAACCCAGAGUGUUUAUACAGAGCGCAGUUGUGUUUCCCAAUAAGAUACACACAGAACAGCAGUCCCUGACUCUGGUGAAGAGGCUUCUGGCCGUGGCAGUGUCCUGCAUUACGUACCUGAG